rnacentral:tRNA from 1 species
GUUUCCGUAGUGUAGUGGUUAUCACGUCUGCCUAACACGCAGAAUGUCCCCAGUUCGAGCCUGGGCUGAAAUA